rnacentral:rRNA from 1 species
UCAGUGGCGAACGGGUGAGUAACACGUGAGCAACCUGCCCCUGACUCUGGGAUAAGCGCUGGAAACGGCGUCUAAUACUGGAUACGAGACGUGACCGCAUGGUCAACGUUUGGAAAGAUUUUUCGGUUGGGGAUGGGCUCGCGGCCUAUCAGCUUGUUGGUGAGGUAAUGGCUCACCAAGGCGUCGACGGGUAGCCGGCCUGAGAGGGUGACCGGCCACACUGGGACUGAGACACGGCCCAGACUCCUACGGGAGGCAGCAGUGGGGAAUAUUGCACAAUGGGCGGAAGCCUGAUGCAGCAACGCCGCGUGAGGGAUGACGGCCUUCGGGUUGUAAACCUCUUUUAGCAGGGAAGAAGCGAAAGUGACGGUACCUGCAGAAAAAGCGCCGGCUAACUACGUGCCAGCAGCCGCGGUAAUACGUAGGGCGCAAGCGUUAUCCGGAAUUAUUGGGCGUAAAGAGCUCGUAGGCGGUUUGUCGCGUCUGCUGUGAAAUCUGGGGGCUCAACCCCCAGCCUGCAGUGGGUACGGGCAGACUAGAGUGCGGUAGGGGAGAUUGGAAUUCCUGGUGUAGCGGUGGAAUGCGCAGAUAUCAGGAGGAACACCGAUGGCGAAGGCAGAUCUCUGGGCCGUAACUGACGCUGAGGAGCGAAAGGGUGGGGAGCAAACAGGCUUAGAUACCCUGGUAGUCCACCCCGUAAACGUUGGGAACUAGUUGUGGGGUCCAUUCCACGGAUUCCGUGACGCAGCUA